AUUGAACGCUGGCGGCAGGCUUAACACAUGCAAGUCGAGCGCUCUGCGGACGGUUGUGUAAUGUCUGGGAAACUGCCUUAUGGAGGGGGCUAACUCCUGGAAACUGUAGCUAAUACCGCAUACCCUCAGAUGUGCCCCGAUGGGUUUAGCUAGUGGGUGGGGUAAUGGCUCACCUAGGCGACGAUCCCUAGCUGGUCUGAGAGGAUGACCAGGCACAAUGGAACUGAGGAACGGGCCAGAGUGCUACGGGAGGCAGCAGGGGGGAAUAUUGCACAAUGGGCGCAAGACUGAUGCAGCAAUGCCGCGUGUGUGAAGAAGGACUUCGGGUUGUAAAGAAAUGUCAGCGAGGUGGCGGUACUCGCAGAAGAAGCAACGGCUAACUCCGUGCCAGCAGCCGCGGUAAUUC
rnacentral:rRNA from 1 species